CCUACGGGUGGCUGCAGUGGGGAAUAUUGGACAAUGGGGGCAACCCUGAUCCAGCCAUGCCGCGUGUGUGAAGAAGGCCCUCGGGUUGUAAAGCACUUUCAGUGAGGAAGAACGCCUGGUGGUUAAUACCCAUCAGGAAAGACAUCACUCACAGAAGAAGCAUCGGCUAACUCCGUGCCAGCAGCCGCGGUAAUACGGAGGGUGCGAGCGUUAAUCGGAAUUACAGGGCGUAAAGCGCGCGUAGGUGGCUUGAUAAGCCGGUUGUGAAAGCCCCGGGCUCAACCUGGGAACGGCAUCCGGAACUGUCAAGCUAGAGUGCAGGAGAGGAAGGUAGAAUUCCCGGUGUAGCGGUGAAAUGCGUAGAGAUCGGGAGGAAUACCAGUGGCGAAGGCGGCCUUCUGGACUGACACUGACACUGAGGUGCGAAAGCGUGGGUAGCAAACAGGAUUAGAUACCCCAGUAGUC
rnacentral:rRNA from 1 species